UAGACAAAUAAAAAUGUCCAUUAUUUCUUUUUGCAUUAUAUGAUACACGUUAUUAUUUCAUAUCUCAAUAAGUUUACUUUGUAAAACAAGUUUGAGGGAGAAAAAAAAUACAAACUUCAUCAAUGGAAGAAGCAAAGUUGAGAAAGCUAGGUGGUUCUCUGAAAGUCCCUAACGUUCAAGAACUUGCAAAGCAACAACUAGCAGCCGUUCCAUCGCGAUAUAUGCGCGAUGAUAUUGAAAAUCAAUCAUAUUCUUCCAUAUUACCUCAAGUUCCAGUUAUUGAUAUGAAAAAAUUGCUGGAAAUUGGAGAUAUUGAUGAUGAUUCGGAACUCGUGAGGCUUCAUCUCGCUUGCAAAGAAUGGGGAUUUUUUCAGCUGGUGAAUCAUGGAGUGAAUUCCUCAUUGAUGAAGAAAGUGAAAUCGGAAAUCAGAGCAUUUUUCGAUCUACCAAUGGAAGAGAAGACGAAAUUCGAGCAAGAAGAAGGAGAUCUCGAAGGAUACGGGCAAGCAUUUGUUGUAUCUGAAGAACAAAAGUUAGAUUGGGCUGAUAUACUUUACAUGAUCACUCUCCCUACUCAUUUGCGAAAACCUCACUUGUUUCCAAAGCUUCCUGCCUCGUUCAGGGAUGCAUUGGAACAAUACUCAAGAACACUGAAGGAACUUGCUAUGAAAAUUCUGUACGUAAUGGCCAGAGCUUUAGGGAUGAAAACAGAGGAUAUGAAUGUACUAUUUGAACAAGACGGGACACAAAUGAUGAGAAUAAAUUAUUAUCCUCCUUGUCCUCAACCAGAGCGCGUAAUGGGGUUAUGCCCCCAUACUGAUGCUAUUGGUCUAGCUAUAUUACUUCAGGUUAAUGAAACGGAAGGUCUUCAAAUUAAGAAAGAUGGAGCUUGGACUCCGGUUCCAUAUCUUCCUGAUGCCUUUGUUGUCAACAUUGGAGAUAUUUUAGAGAUUCUGACAAAUGGAAUCUACAAAAGCACUGAACAUCGAGCAAUUGUGAACGAAGAUAAAGAGAGGAUUUCCAUUGCUACAUUUUUGAGCCCUAGGGACGUCUUGGAAGCUUACUGCAAAGAAAUUAAGAGCCUAGCAAGGAUCAUCGUAUGCCAAUUGACAAAGGCUUUAAGGAUGGACGAAGAGGAAAUGAGAGAUCUAUUCAGUGAUGGUAUGCAGUCAAUGAGGAUGAAUUAUUAUCCGCCUUGCCCUGAACCAAACAGGGCAAUUGGCUUAAGCACUCAUUCUGAUCCUGGUGUCCUCACCAUCCUUUUCCAGCUGAACGAAACUGAAGGUCUACAAGUCCGAAAAGAUGAUAUUUGGGUGCCCAUAAAGCCCCUCCCAAAUGCUUUGAUUGUGAAUAUUGGAGACAUGAUGGAGAUAUUGAGCAAUGGUGUGUAUAGGAGUAUUGAGCACAGAGCAAUUGUAAACUCAAAUGAAGAAAGGCUCUCUGUUGCGACAUUCUAUUACAUGAACCUUGAAUCCGAAUGGGGAUUUUUCCAGUUGGUGAAUCACGGAGUGAGUUCAUCAUUGAUGGAGAAAGUGAAAUCAGAAAUCAGAGCAUUUUUCGAUCUACCAAUGGAAGAGAAGACGAAAUUCGAGCAAGAAGAGGGAGAUCUCGAAGGAUACGGGCAAGCAUUUGUUGUAUCUGAAGAGAAAAAGUUAGAUUGGGCUGAUAUACUUUACAUGAUCACUCUCCCUACUCAUUUGCGAAAACCUCACUUGUUUCCAAAGCUUCCUGCCUCGUUCAGGGAUGCAUUGGAACAAUACUCAAGAGCACUGAAGGAACUUGCUAUGAAAAUUCUGUACGUAAUGGCCAGAGCUUUAGGGAUGAAAACAGAGGAUAUGAAUGUAUUAUUUGAACAAGACGGGACACAAAUGAUGAGAAUAAAUUAUUAUCCUCCUUGUCCUCAACCAGAGCGCGUAAUGGGGUUAUGCCCCCAUACUGAUGCUAUUGGUCUAGCUAUAUUACUUCAGGUUAAUGAAACGGAAGGUCUUCAAAUUAAGAAAGAUGGAGCUUGGAUUCCGGUUCCAUAUCUUCCUGAUGCCUUUGUUGUCAACAUUGGAGAUAUUUUAGAGAUUGUGACAAAUGGAAUUUACAAGAGCAUUGAUCAUGGGGAUAAGGAGAGGAUCUCUAUUGCUACAUUUUUUAGCCCCAAAUUGGACGGAGAUUUAGGUCCAGCACCAAGUCUCCUCACUCCUCAAAAUAUAGGAGGAUUGGAGUGGCCGAUUACUUCAAAGGAUUUUUUUCUCGAGAGCUCCAUGGAAAAUCAUACCUACAUACUCUAAAAAUUGGAAAUGGAGAUCAUGAUAGCAAUUGAUCAAUGUUGCAUUUUAUUCCGCUCGUAUGAUAAUUAUUGUAGCAAUGGUGGUCUGUUUAGUUGUAUGAGCUAUCUCAUGUGAUGUAAAAGGUUGCAGAAGAACAGUUAUUGCUUAUAUUUAUAUUUAAAACCAUUAAGAAA